rnacentral:rRNA from 1 species
UACGUAGGGUGCAAGCGUUGUCCGGAAUUAUUGGGCGUAAAGAGCUCGUAGGCGGUUUGUUGCGUCGGCUGUGAAAUCCCGAGGCUCAACCUCGGGUCUGCAGUCGAUACGAGCAAACUAGAGUGUUGCAGGGGAGACUGGAAUUCCUGGUGUAGCGGCUGAAAUGCGCAGAUAUCAGGAGGAACACCGGUGGCGAAGGCGGGUCUCUGGGCAACAACUGACGCUGAGGAGCGAAAGCGUGGGGAGCGAACAGG